CUAAGAUGAAAAUCUUGGAUAAGUAAAAAGAUUUUGAUCAGGGAUCAGAGGGAUGAUGGCUCACUCGGGACACAUUUCCUGUUUACUGAUUUGUGCGUGCGCAACGUCAUGAACUGCAUCCAAAUUUGUAACAAUGCAUGCGUUAAGGGAAAUUGCUAGAUAGUAUACUUCAAAAUAAGGUUUCCGUUUUUAUAUCAAUUUUUUAAAUAGGUUAGGGUUAGGUUAGGGUUGGGGUUAAGGUUAGUAUUAGGGUUAGGUUGGGGACUGUAAAUUACGGUUAAUGGAAUCUUCCAUAAAUUAGGAUCUGAGUACUUUUAUCGAACCAGGCCCCGUACACACAAUUAAGUUUUCUAUAAGAUAUCAUACUAAAAGGUUUCAUAGCGUAUAUAACCGAGCUGACGUCUUGAACAUUUUCCGAAAAUUGGACAUAUAUGCACUUGCUUAUCUGUUGUGGUACAGUCAUUAGUGCACGUGCCUGUCACGUG